rnacentral:rRNA from 1 species
UACAGAAGUCUCAAGCGUUGUUCGGAUUCAUUGGGCGUAAAGGGUGCGUAGGCGGCGCGGUAAGUCGGGUGUGAAAUCUCGGAGCUUAACUCCGAAACUGCAUUCGAUACUGCCGUGCUUGAGGACUGGAGAGGAGACUGGAAUUUACGGUGUAGCGGUGAAAUGCGUAGAUAUCGUAAGGAAGACCAGUGGCGAAGGCGGGUCUCUGGACAGUUCCUGACGCUGAGGCACGAAGGCCAGGGGAGCAAACGGG